CUUGACUACACCCAGCAACCUUCCGUCACUGAAUUAGAAAUUCAGGUAGUCCAGUGCCUAAGUGCAGUGAGUUGCUUGCAAAUCACCGUGGUGGUCUCAGGUCGGAGGAACAUUUAUACCCAUAUCCCAUCGAAGCAAAUCUUGACAGCAGAAAUAGUUCCGGAGUUGGUCACGUUCAGUGCAGAUGUACCAUUACAUCUCACAUGUAUGCCAUACCAGUGUCUCCACACUCUUUGGUUAUGAGGACAA
rnacentral:lncRNA from 1 species